UACGAAGGGGGCUAGCGUUGCUCGGAAUCACUGGGCGUAAAGGGUGCGUAGGCGGGUCUUUAAGUCAGGGGUGAAAGCCUGGAGCUCAACUCCAGAACUGCCUUUGAUACUGGCAAUCUCGAGUCCGGAAGAGGUAAGUGGAACUGCGAGUGUAGAGGUGAAAUUCGUAGAUAUUCGCAAGAACACCAGUGGCGAAGGCGGCUCACUGGCCCGGUACUGACGCUGAGGUGCGAAAAGCGUGGGGAGCAAACAGG
rnacentral:rRNA from 1 species